AAGGCUUUAAGUUAAAUCAAACUAAUAGCCUUCAAAGCUGCCAAUAAAGAACAUUCUUUAAGCCUUA
rnacentral:tRNA from 1 species